UGGGAUGAAUCCGGAUGGGAUGACGACUCUACUCCUUGGGAGGAUGAGCUCGGGAAGGACGUGGAGGAGUUGGAUUCGGAAGUUAGGACACACUGGAUGGCUGGGAAAAUCCAGGAUGAGGUUGAGGAAGCUGGGAGAAUCAACGUGGAUGGGAAUGAUCUGUUGUUUGUUCCAACGCAUGGGAAAAACAAUGGGUUUGAGAGGCGUGGAGUUGGAUGAUGCAAGAUGAAUGGCUGAGAUGGGAUGAGGCUUUGGGAUCCGUGCAACUAAGAUGGUAUGCUUUGAGAUCUGAGAAACAAAUAAUUGAAGGGAUUUUAUUGUUUUUGAGAUUAAAAUUGGAUCAUGUGGAAAAA
rnacentral:lncRNA from 1 species